AGAGCGAACGCUGGCGGCAGGCCUAACACAUGCAAGUCGAGCGCCCGUAGCAAUACGGGAGCGGCAGACGGGAGAGUAACACGUGGGAACGCGCCCUUCGGUUCGGAAUAACUCAGGGAAACUUGAGCUAAUACCGGAUACGCCCUUACGGGGAAGAUUUAUUGCCGAAGGAACGGCCCGCGUCCGAUUAGCUAGUUGGUGAGGUAAUGGCUCACCAAGGCGACGAUCGGUAGCUGGUCUGAGAGGAUGACCAGCCUCACUGGGACUGAGACACGGCCCAGACUCCUACGGGAGGCAGCAGUGGGGAAUAUUGGACAAUGGGCGCAAGCCUGAUCCAGCCAUGCCGCGUGAGUGAUGAAGGCCUUAGGGUUGUAAAGCUCUUUUAGCAGGGAAGAUAAUGACGGUACCUGCAGAAAAAGCCCCGGCUAACUUCGCGCCAGCAGCCGC
rnacentral:rRNA from 1 species